rnacentral:misc_RNA from 1 species
GUGAGUGACUUGCGGGCAAGAGUGGUGUCCAGUGGAGUUAUUAGAAUCGUUUUUCCUUCCCGCUUUUCGUGACGCAACACGUGGUUCGCAAAGCUUGCGAACAUUUUCGGCCGAUUGUCUGUUUGAAUUUAAAUAAGUGUUUGUGUGUGUGUGAGUGUAUAUGUAUGAAUAAGUGAUCCUUGUUUGUAUUAAGUUUCUUCAACAAUCGGCAAGCUGGCGCAAAUAAGUUUUUCCCAAUACAUGGGCGACAUGGAGAUGCCAGACUUCAAGGUUCUAACCGGAUCUGACAGGUUUG